rnacentral:rRNA from 1 species
CUAGCUAACUGAAAUCAUAAAAUCAUUAAUAGUGGUAAUAUAAUAACGUAAGGGAAAAAAAUGAUAUCACCUUACUAUUAGUGUUGUCCAAAGCUGUGAGAUGUAUUAGGACUACAUCGUUAAUGGCUGUUAAACUAUCAAACUCCGGAAACGCCCUAAAGGUUAAGGUACCAAACUAUAAUCGAAAGGUUAUAAGUGGCCAGAAUAAUUACCUGGGUAUGGUAACAAGCCUUAAUAUGAAGGAAACUGAAAUGGGUUAUCGCGGAUCUAAAUCAUUUAUACUGAAUAUAACAGUCAACCAAUAAGAACAGUAUAAGUGUAAAAGAGCAACGAGUAGACGGUAGUUACUUUGUUUAUAUAAAUUAUUAUAAAAUAAAGUUAAGGUGUACUCUAACGGGCUUCGAAAGAAGCUAUCCUGUCAAAGUCCUUUCUAACCAAUUUUUAAAUAAAAAAAUUUUAUUCNNNNNNNNUUCUUAUUCAAUUAAUCUAUUUCUACUAGUUAAAUUAUAUUGAAUCCUAAUAUUAUUACGGAGUUUUUACUAAUGAUUUCACAUUCCUGUACGAAUUCGUACAGGGGGGUGAUUUACUAUUUCAAUUCAAAACAAAAAUAAAAUUAAUACUCAAAUAAGGGUUAUUUAGCUUAUUUAGAUUGAACAACAUUGCUAAUAGGAUAAAAUUAGAUCAACAUAAAUAUAAAAAGGAGGGGGCGCUACGCCUAAAAAUAAAUAGAAGCUAAAAUGAAUAAAGGUAGAUAGAAUAUUAAAAAUUGUAUGAUAAAUUUGAUGAACCGUGGGUGCCAGAAGACUCGGUAAGGCCAGAGACGCGAACGUUAAUCGUCCUAAUCAGGCGUAAAGGGUAUGUAGGCUGCUUUGAAAGUUUUAUUUAUAAUAGCUCUUUUUUACUAAAAAUAAAAAAGAUAAUAUAAAAUGAAUUAAAGCUAGAAUCAAGAAGAGGAUAAACCAAAUAAUACUUAGAGUAGGGAUGAUAUCUUUAGAUACUAAGGGGAAUACUAACGGUGAAAGCUUUUUAUCUAUUAAUGAUUGACGCUGAGAAACGAAGGUGAGAAUAGGAAAUAGGAUUAGAUACCCAGAUACCUCUCACUGUAAACGAUGAAUGGUGGUUGUUAGGAAUAAUAAAACUAGUGACGAUGUUAACACGAUAACCAUUCCGCCUUGCGAGUACGGUUGCAAAACUGAAACCAAAAAAAU